GCCCCGGCCCCGGCCCCGGCCCCCCUUCCCUGCGCCGCUCCGGCAGCCGGCUCCGCUCCCGGCUCGGCUGCUCUUCGCGGGAGCGCUCUGACAGCACCUGCAGGACAGCGCGGGCACUCGGAGCCGGGAAGGGGAAUAAGGUUCCCAUAAUGAAUCUGCUGUGAACCCCACUACUGAUUCAGAAAGCUUUCCAAAUUCUGAAGACUGCUGAAAUUUUCCUGGACUGCUUAAACCAGAAUGUGCAGUUCCAGCUGAGAUAUCUAAAGGUACAUUCUUGCAUGUUUAAUUGUUGUUGUUCGUAUUCUUCUUUAGAUGCAACUCAUGUAAACUUAACCUAUGACUAGAAGUAAACAAAAUUAUUUGCAUAGGAAAAACAAGCAUUAUUUAAAACUAUUUUUUAGUACAAGUAGCAUAGAGCAUGAAUAAAUUCAAUUUGUAUAUCA
rnacentral:lncRNA from 1 species